GUGGUAAUUCUAGAGCUAAUACAUGCUAAAAACCUCGACUUCGGAAGGGGUGUAUUUAUUAGAUAAAAAACCAAUGCCCUUCGGGGCUCCUUGGUGAUUCAUAAUAACUUAACGAAUCGCAUGGCCUUGCGCCGGCGAUGGUUCAUUCAAAUUUCUGCCCUAUCAACUUUCGAUGGUAGGAUAGUGGCCUACCAUGGUUUCAACGGGUAACGGGGAAUUAGGGUUCUAUUCCGGAGAGGGAGCCUGAGAAACGGCUACCACAUCCAAGGAAGGCAGCAGGCGCGCAAAUUACCCAAUCCCGACACGGGGAGGUAGUGACAAUAAAUACUGAUACAGGGCUCUUUUGGGUCUUGUAAUUGGAAUGAGUACAAUUUAAAUCCCUUAACGAGGAACAAUUGGAGGGCAAGUCUGGUGCCAGCAGCCGCGGUAAUUCCAGCUCCAAUAGCGUAUAUUAAAGUUGUUGCAGUUAAAAAGCUCGUAGUUGAACCUUGGGCCUGGCUGGCCGGUCCGCCUCACCGCGUGCACUGGUCCGGCCGGGCCUUUCCUUCUGGGGAGCCGCAUGCCCUUCACUGGGUGUGUCGGGGAACCAGGACUUUUACUUUGAAAAAAUUAGAGUGUUCAAAGCAGGCCUAUGCUCGAAUACAUUAGCAUGGAAUAAUAGAAUAGGACGUGUGGUUCUAUUUUGUUGGUUUCUAG
rnacentral:rRNA from 1 species